rnacentral:rRNA from 1 species
GACGAACGCUGGCGGCGUGCUUAACACAUGCAAGUCGAACGGAAAGGCCCUGCUUUUGUGGGGUGCUCGAGUGGCGAACGGGUGAGUAACACGUGAGUAACCUGCCCUUGACUUUGGGAUAACUUCAGGAAACUGGGGCUAAUACCGGAUAGGAGCUCCUGCCGCAUGGUGGGGGUUGGAAAGUUUCGGCGGUUGGGGAUGGACUCGCGGCUUAUCAGCUUGUUGGUGGGGUAGUGGCUUACCAAGGCUUUGACGGGUAGCCGGCCUGAGAGGGUGACCGGCCACAUUGGGACUGAGAGACGGCCCAGACUCCUACGGGAGGCAGCAGUGGGGAAUAUUGCACAAUGGGCGGAAGCCUGAUGCAGCAACGCCGCGUGCGGGAUGACGGCCUUCGGGUUGUAAACCGCUUUCGCCUGUGACGAAGCGUGAGUGACGGUAAUGGGUAAAGAAGCACCGGCUAACUACGU